UACGAAGGGGGCUAGCGUUGCUCGGAAUCACUGGGCGUAAAGCGCACGUAGGCGGAUCUUUAAGUCAGGGGUGAAAUCCCAAGGCUCAACCUUGGAACCGCCUUUGAUACUGGGGAUCUCGAGUCCGGAAGAGGUUGGUGGAACUCCGAGUGUAGAGGUGAAAUUCGUAGAUAUUCGGAAGAACACCAGUGGCGAAGGCGGCCAACUGGUCCGGCACUGACGCUGAGGUGCGAAAGCGUGGGGAGCAAACAGG
rnacentral:rRNA from 1 species